GAUGAAGAACGCAGCGAAAUGCGAUAAGUAAUGUGAAUUGCAGAACUCAGUGAAUCAUCGAAUCUUUGAACGCACAUUGCGCCCCCUGGCCUUCCGGGGGGCAUGCCUGUCCGAGCGUCAUUGCUGCCCUCAAGCCCGGCUUGUGUGUUGGGCCCCGUCCCCCUCUCCGGGGGACGGGCCCGAAAGGCAGCGGCGGCACCGAGUCCGGUCCUCGAGCGUAUGGGGCUUUGUCACCCGCUCUGUAGGCCCGGCCGGCGCCAGCCGACAACCCAUCAUCCUUUUCAGGUUGACCUCGGAUCAGGUAGGGAUACCCGCUGAACUUAAGCAUAUCAAUAAGCGGAGGA
rnacentral:misc_RNA from 1 species